GGAAAAGGGACAGAAGUGUUUCAAUAGGUAUGAAUUUUUUUUUUUAAACUAAUCAAUUUUAGUGAACGAAAUUGGAAUUUUAAUUUAAGCGAGUUUGUUUGUUUCAGAUGAAAAGAUAUUAACAGAAGACGAAGCAGCUGCGAAGGUUUCAGCGAAGAACAAUAAUGGUCCAACAGGGUUGAAGAACGUUGAAGGUACGGGUCGCAAAGAUGACCAAAGAACUGAUAAUCCACCCAAAAAAAAGAAUUAGAAAUAAACAUGCAAUACAAUAUGACUGAUUUUUAUUUAGAAGUCCGUUCUUACAAACAUUACGCUCUGCUAGAAUAUUUAAAUAGAAUGCUAUUAGUAUGAAAGUUUAAUAUGAUACAAUUGUUCAUGUAGAAAAUUGUGUUACAAAUG
rnacentral:lncRNA from 1 species